CGAAGAGGAAGCAUGACACGCAGCGUGAGUAAAGCAAGGAGAAACCUCAGACAGAGGAAUUCACUUGAUGGAGAGCUGCAGAGGAACUACACUUCCUAUUGUCUGACCUAUGACCUCUCACCCCGUGGCAGUAUGGGUCAUAUUUUCCACAUGCCGAGCUCGGGGACCUGUCUCGGCAUCCAGGAGGGGAACGAGGAAUGUUGGGAGUAGCUGGCAGCAGAUGCUCUGUUGUUUUGGAAAAAAAAAAAGAAAAAACACUAUACCAGCUGUGCAAUCAAAAGGACCCUACGCAGUCUGGCUGAAUUAUGGAGGAAACCUUUGGAAAUAAAAGGGAAAGUAACCGCCAGGAGCUGCUGAUCUACUACACUUGAUUAACCAAUCGUCAACAAAUAUGAGCACCUUUUUACAAGCAGAAGUUUUUACAGUGUGGUGGUAAUACAAUACCAAUGAGGAAAUGAGGAAAAAUCUUAGAGAAGCAAUUGCUGUUGUCCAUUAAUAUGGGAAGGGUUAUAAGGCCAUUUCAGAACAAUCUGAAGUCCAUCACUCUCCGGUAAGAAAGAUUAUUCACAAGUGAAAGAUACUGAAGACGUCUGCCAAUCUUCCCAGGAGUCGACAUCCCAGCAAAUUCACCCCAAGGUCAGACUGUGCAAAGCUCAGAGACGCUACCAAAAAAAGCUUACGUUUGCAGAACUGCAUUUAAACCAGUGGUUCCCAAACUUUCUUUGCUGGGCCCCCCUUUGUUUUACAAGAAAAUCUUUGUGCCCCCCUGGCACAAACGCAUCCUCCAACCACACACGCCCAUAUUUUGCAUAUAAACUCCAUUGCAGUUUAUUUCACACCUCAAACCUUUAGUAAACAUUAAAAAAAAUGAAAGUAAACUGCAAUAAAUUAGAGGUUACAAUAAAAUAAACUACCAACACUUUUAAAUAACAGAAAAACAAACCAUCUUUAUGGUGUAAUUAUUAUACGUGUAGUUUUUUGUUACUGUGUAAGAAUACUCAAUAUUGCUAUCAAUACAUUUUUCACAAAAUGCCUCUCUGUGCAAACAUAAACAACUGUGGGAUACUGUUUGUCCGGGAUUUGGACAGCCCAGCGGGUGCUCCCGAUGCAGGGGAAACAAAUUCUGAUCGGGAUACCUACCUUGGCGCCACCGUUGUGCAGGAAAGCAGAGGUGACUGCUUUUGAUACUAUGCUGACACUAUGGGGCUAUAUGCACUAACCUCCUCGGAACAGCAGAGGGAGCACUUUUGACAGUCUUCUGGGAGCCGGUUCCGCAUUGAAAAUGUGGUUGUGCAAUGCCUUUGCAAAGCUGAUCAUUCUCACUACAAGCCAGAGGAGGGAGCCAACUGGUCAACAAUGAAUCCUUUGUAUAGUCAUGGUAUAGCAUGGCACAUGGUGAACAAAGUGAUCUACUGUCACAUUCCUAUGUACAUUUCAAAACGUGUCAUCACCAUCACUCGGAGCAUGUUUUGACUCCAUGUGGAUACAGCAGAUCUGACCUUGCUUCUGAGCUUCAGUGAUGCUCUCCUCUGAUGGAUCUGCCAAAAAACAGAACAGAUGAUGGCAAACAGGCAUGUUCACAGUGCUGGUAUUUGGUCCCAUUCAGCAACAUGCAUGUGGUAUUUUUUUUUAAACAAGAAAAUGUGGGAUGUAAAAAUAAAACUUAACAGUCCAUACUGUUGUUUCAAAAAUGUUUCUUUAUUUAGA
ensembl:lncRNA